GAUGAACGCUGGCGGCGUGCUUAACACAUGCAAGUCGAACGGAAAGGCCCUGCUUUUGCGGGGUGCUCGCGUGGCGAACGGGUGAGUAACACGUGAGUAUCCUGCCCUUGACUUUGGGAUAACUUCAGGAGACUGGGGCUAAUACCGGAUAGGAGCUCCUGCUGCAUGGUGGGGGUUGGAAAGUUUCGGCGGUUGGGGAUGGACUCGCGGUUUAUCAGCUUGUUGGUGGAGUAGUGGCUUACCAAGGGUUUGACGGGUAGCCGGCAUGAGAGGGUGACCGGGGACAAGACGACUGCGAGACGGCCCAGUCUCGAACAGGAGGCAGCGGGGGAGAGUAUUGCACAGUGAGGGGGAGCCUGUGACAACAGUGCCGCGAUCGUGAUGACGUCCUACUGGUGGUGAACCGCUGUCGCCUGUGACGAAGCGGGAGUGACGGUAAUGAGUAAAGAAGCACCGGCUAACUACGUG
rnacentral:rRNA from 1 species